rnacentral:lncRNA from 1 species
UAAACUGCACAGCUACAGUAAUCAGGCAGAUCUCAUUGAACAAUCGAUCACCACGUGAGUGAAUGAAGGCUAAAAGUCAUGGAAAAGCUACUUUGUGAAUUUCUAAAGCAGUGCAGGAAUAUAAUACAGCAGCAUCUAUCACUUGCACAAUUACCAUUCAGUCUAAAACGGGCGCAGUACCUACUCUCUGCCUGCGGGGGUCGUCUUUCCCCACCGCUCUUCUAGUGUGUCCGAAUUGGGCCAACGUGUUUAGUAUGUAGGAGUAGGAUCUAGCAGUAGCAUGUAGCAGUAGCAUGUAGUAUGCGAGCAGGCAAUUCAGACACAGCACAUAUCAGUAAGAACCGGAUGGGAGGAGUGGGCGCGGCCAAUGACAUCAUACAUGAGAUCAGGAGUGUGUUGAUAUCAGCUCCAACAUCAUAUAUAUAUAUAAAUAUAUAUAUAUAUGUGUGUGUGUGUGUCAGUCUUUAUGUAUUUAUGUCAAUAUCAGUUUGUUUAAUAUUUAACAGUUAGUUUAAUAUUUAUGUAUAUUAAUGUCCAAGGUUUCUAUAUGCAUACGUCCAUACAUGUUUCUUAAUGUUAAUACAUGUUUAUAUCAGUCAGCAUAAAUUUACAUGUUUAUAUGUGUUUCAAUGUGUUUAUAUUUGCAUUUGCAAGUUUACAUGUUUAUAUAACUUCAAAAUUUUAAUGUUUUUUGAUAAAUGUUUUAUAUGUUGAUGUUUAUCUCCCUCUUUCACUCUCUGUCUUCCUGCCCCCCCCCCCCCCCCCUCUCUCUCUCUGUCGCUCGACCUCCACAGAGCUCUCUCACUGUCACUUCCUGCCGUGUUCUGAUUGGACUGUUUCAUCUUUGGCCCCACCCCUUGUGACAGAUCGUGAUGUCAAACAUUAACGUGUCUCUGGAAAACCCCUACGGGGAGGUGCAGAUCCCCCGGGCUAAGCUCCGCCCCUCUGAUGAUGCCAUGGUGAUCGCCAAUCCGAUGACUCUAAACAGUGACAAUGGGAACCCGUACGGCGUAUCAAGCUCCGCCCCUCCACCAUAUAUGGUGAAGGAAGCAGGGGGGGAGGGGGAGGAGGGGGGGAGGUGUCGGGUGUGCUGCUACCGCUGUAGGAGGAGGAAGUGAUAUCACUGCGGCGGGAGGAAUGUGAUUGGCUCAGACUUAUUUAUUUACUGCUGAUGAAUUUCCUUCGCUCUGAGGGAACAGUGAAGGAAACAACAAGUGAAGGAAACGAGGAGGCAACGAGGGAAGGAGGAAGUGAGAAAAAAGGAUAAAGCAAAUCACAAAAGGAAAGGAGAGAAGGAGAAGAAACAAAGGCAGGACACAACAAGUCAAUGAAAAAGCAAAAAAAAAAAAACUGAGUUAAAAUCUUUUCAAAUGACAAAACACCAUCUUAGCGAGGUCAUGUGACCUGAUCUGGGUUAGGAGGGUCAGUAGAGAGCUGUUACCAAUCAAAUCCAUUAAAGAGUUCGUAAUGUAAACGCAUGUUUUUGAGGAGAUUAAAGCUCCCCAUGGUCAUGAGAGGGGAGUUUUAAUAAUGUUAAUAUUUUUAUAUAAACAUUGUUAAACAUUUAUCGGAUCAUUAAAACUCUGACUGAACGCCAUGUUCAUGUUUUUUUUAUAAACAAUAAAAAUGCGUCACGUACAGAUUCUGAUCCAAAUUCGCUCAUUAGGAAAGAGUUUGUAUUCCAAUGUAGAGGGGGGGGGGGUUAUGCUGAUCAUUAUUCUGAAUUGCGUCCAUGUAAACGCUUUUUCCGAUCAUGACUCUCUGUUGGGGCAAAGCUAAACUGACUGCACAUGUGACCCAGACGCUAACUUGACGCAUUUCCGCCAUUAAUGACGAAACGUAAAGAUGGUGGGAUCCAGGAGCGACUGUCUGUCUGACAGAACUUUGUUAAAGUCCAGCCUCCUCAUGUGACGCAGGAUCAGGAUGUGCUGCUGGACCUGCCUGAUAAGCAUGAACUGGGCUCAGGUUGUUCUAAGUGAUGGGGAAACUCCUGAACCGAAUGACGUAAGCCUCGACUGCGUUUGUUGGUUUGUUGGCAGGACAGGCGUAAAUACAACUCUUUUUCUUCUUCUUCCUUUUCUUCUUCUGUGGUUGUUUUAGCAAAGUUUGAGAACUCUUCACGUGUCCAAAUGUUUCUAAUCUGAAUUAAACUUGGUGCUCGUAAACGAGCGUCAUGAUCGAAUCGUUGGGUUUCACGCCCAUUUUCACGGUGGAUUCGGAUUUUACGAUCCUUCAAAAUUUUAAUCGGAUUAAGAAAUUUCACAGAUGUAAACAUGGCUGAUGUGUAAAGGGGAGGUGUCGUCUCUUAAUGACCUCCAGAAAGCAGAGGGAGGGUCGGCGCUGACAGGAAGUCCUUCUUCUGUGAGGGUAACCAUGAGGUCUGACGCAGAGUGGAGGGGGAGGAGUCAGCUGGAACAGACGGUCAAGGGUUUUUUAUGAUUGGAUAUCCGACUGUCUAAAAACACGUUUGUUUUUUUUUCGAUCACUCGCUCAUCUUCAGGAUGAAAUAAGAGUUCUCACUUUGUCCACAGGGGGGCGCCAAACUGACGAUCAAAGGUCGUCACAGGAGCUUUAAUGAAUCGAAUCAGACACUGAGUCUGUUAUUAUGAUUGAUAUGAACUGAUAUUAUGAAUGAGUGAACGAAGAUGAAGGAGUUAAUCUGAAAAUUGCUGUGAUACUUGAUUAAAUCUGUACUCACUGUGAUAAAAGUCUUCAAGUCUGUUUGUUUGGGUUUUUCAACAUUAUUUAUGUAAAGUUAUGACAAUAUUAAUAAUUUAUGAAUGAAUAAUCUGAUCUGUUUUUGUUCCACAUGGUGACGCCUGUCAGGAGGAGUUUGUAUUUUACAUAAAGUAUUUUUAUAUUUUCAUAACCAGGACUGGAGUUUGAAGGAGAUUUAAUAAGAGACUUUAAAUAAAAACAGUAAAUCAACAUGAACCUGCUUGAACGGAAUUAUCUUCAAAAUUAAG